CAGUCGCCGCGGGAAUACGAAGGGGGCUAGCGUUGUUCGGAAUUACUGGGCGUAAAGGGCGCGUAGGCGGCCAUUCAAGUUAGAUGUGAAAGCCCUGGGCUCAACCUAGGAAUUGCAUUUGAUACUGUUUGGCUUGAGUUCGGGAGAGGUGAGUAGAAUUCCCAGUGUAGAGGUGAAAUCCGUAGAUAUCGGAAGGAACACCAGUGGCGAAGGCGGCUACCUGGACUGACACUGACACUGAGGCGCGAAAGCGUGGGGAGCAAACAGGAUUAGAGACCCCAGUAGUCCCUGUCUCUUAUAC
rnacentral:rRNA from 1 species